rnacentral:rRNA from 1 species
CACGGGGGGACUCCUACGGGAGGCAGCAGUGAGGAAUUUUCCGCAAUGGGCGAAAGCCUGACGGAGCGACGCCGCGUGUGGGAUGAAGGCCUUCGGGUCGUAAACCACUGUCGAAGGGGACUAUACUGAAGGUACCCUUGGAGGAAGCCCCGGCUAACUACGUGCCAGCAGCCGCGGUAAGACGUAGGGGGCAAGCGUUAUUCGGAAUUAUUGGGCGUAAAGCGCUCGUAGGCGGGACAGGAAGUCCGUGAAGAAAGACCUGGGCUCAACUCAGGGAACGGCACGGAUACUCUUGUUCUUGAGGCAAUCAGAGGGUGAUGGAAUUCCCGGUGGAGCGGUGAAAUGCGUAGAGAUCGGGAGGAACACCAGUGGCGAAGGCGAUCACCUGGGGUUGUUCUGACGCUGAGGAGCGAAAGCUAGGGGAGCAAACGGGAUUAGAUACCCCGGUAGUCCUAGCCGUAAACGAUGGAUACUAGGUGUAUGUGGUAUCGACUCCAUAUGUGCCGUAGUUAAC